AAUUUUGAAAAACAAAUAUGUCGCACUUCUCUUUCUCGAAGCUGAAAAAUCGGUGAAAUCGACAUGAAAAAAUUAAUUCCAAGGAAAAUCAUCCAAAGAAAAAAGGAUGUGACAAAGGCAUCGUGAAGAAGUUUUAAAUGAGACUUGACCGCAUAUUUGUGUUCUGCAGGUCCUCUUCAUGACUAAGGACUUCAGAGAGGCUGUGGAAAGUCACUGUGGUCAAGAUCAGAAGACUGCUGAUUUUCACCUGAAAAGCCUAUUUAAGACGUUAAAGACAAGUGAAACUCACACAAAGGACAUCUUAUCCAUACUGGGCAUUGGAAAUGGUGAGUUUGAUGUUGAUAUCCUGCUGAGAAAAAGUAUAUAUUUUACCUAACUUUUAUAAAUAUACAAGGGCUCUAUUAGCAUUAUAAAUUCUAAAAAGUAUAAUACAUUCCUUUCCUGCAGUCAAAUGACCUAGUGGCCUCAUGGGUGGAAUGUUAAUAUUUUUCAUAAUUUCAUAAUUAAUGAACAUGUAAAAAAUAAAAUGCCUUAAAUCCAGUGUUACUAUGUCAAAUAUAUAUACAUGGCCUUCCGAGUC
rnacentral:lncRNA from 8 species